AAUGUUAGACGCUAUAUUUAUAUUUGUUUAAUAUUUAUUCCAACGAUAAAUAAACCGGAAAAACUAUUUUCCCAAGUUAUUUAAAAAAGGGAUAAAAGAGGCGCUAAAACUUAAAACUUCCAUAUAGAAAUAUACCGUUUUAUAAAUACAAUAUAUAAAAAAAAUUGUUAGAUUGAAAGAAUUGGAAAAUUCUACGCUACCUUGGCCAAGUUUCUGAUCUGAAUAGGAUAUAAGACGAUAGAUAUUGUUUUUAUUAGCUGUUUUUCAUGACUAUAACCAGUACUUCAGUUAGUAGAAGGUAUUUAGAUGGAGAAAUUGGAUCAUACUUCAGAAGUAAUAAAAUGUCCAAGAUACAUCAUUAUCUCCUAUCUUAUUUCUACAGACGAUUAUGGUGUUUUAACUGUUCGGCCAUGCAUUGUACGAUAUAUUCGUCUUACACUUUCUUCUCGUUCCAGAAUAAUUAUCUUCUUUUCCAUCUGCUUAUAUUAUUCGUAUUUAAUGAUGCGCAUUCGGUUCUCGUUUUAAAAGCGUAUUUGACAUUUAAAUUAAUAGGCAUAAUUACUCGAAAAGACAGAUUUACUAUCCGAACUAGCUCGAUCGAUGAACCAAAUUUACAGAAUAGAAUUAAUUUUUCCACGCUGGCCAUGCUUAGAAACAUGGUCGAAUACCGUCUCUCUCUCUUUAUUUAUUUAUUUUUCUUCACGCUUUGAAAUUUAAUGCUCUGGAAAUACGUUUUUAAAUAGUGCUAAGAUUAUGUCUUUUCGAGAAUUGUUCAAACAAUCCAGCUGUUAAGAUAUUUCUGGAAAGUAGGUCUGAAGCGGGUUUACGACCGAAUCCAACAUUUUCGGUUUUCUUUUUACCUUUAAAGGCGUUUCGACGAAGAACUUUUUAAUGCUCCAAACGUAUUCGUUUUUCGGGUAAGAUUACAUUUUCUAAACAGGCCUAGACUCGGUAGGAAAUGAGAUUUUCCAAAAUGUGACAUUGUCACGGUUUAUUCUUUUAAUCGUCACUACUCGGUAGUUUUACUCGAAAUAAAAAAGAAUUUUUUGUUUCGCUUUACACGCUAAACUUUAUUAGUCAGUCGGAGACAAAUUGAAUCUAUCAACUAAAAUCGGUGAAUGCAUUGGUCAUUUUUCUUCUUAUAAAACGAAUAAUAAGUCUAUUUUUCCUCCAUAGCUUUCUGGUUGAUCUUUAUUUUAAACUUACAAAAUCGACCACCCUUUAAAGAAGAGGGGGGAAAAGCUGGUAUAGUUGAUAGGUAUCGAAUGUUCCCGCGCUAAUAGAUCAAUGUUUAAGAGUUAAUAAAUCUGGCUGAGAGCUUAUUUUUAUUUGCUAAAAAAACAUUUCUUUUGUCCUUCGUAUUGUCGGUUUGAAUAGGAUCUCCUAUAUAAUAAAUUGCUUCGAUGACAAUGUCGAGGUUUCUGUAAACAAACUAUUUCUAAACGCUCGAGAAUAAACUGCCGUGUCAUGAAAUGAAAGCAAACAAUUGUAUAACAUAAAGAUGCAUUGUUAUCUAAAAUAGUUAAGGCUGUAAUCCAAAAUACCUUAAAAGAUAAGAUGAGUAAACAAUUAUCGCUUGCGUCAUUUACUAUACUCAGAUUUUUUUACUCCUUUCGUUUUCGGAACGGAUUAACACCGGUUUCGAUUAAAAUAUCAAUAAAAACUCGGACAAUUCCACCUAGAGUUAAAAUUUAGUAAUCAAAAUCCAUUUUUUUGUUUAUGCAAUUCCAAAUUCAUUUAGAUAUUGUUAAUUAUUAACAAGUAAAAUCGAUUUCUAAAUUGUGUACGAAUAUUAUACGUUCUGGUAACUACUAAUUUUGAACACAAUCGAGUAAAUUCUGCCUUAAAUAUCAUCGAUUAUAUUUUCAUUAUAUUUAUGCCAAAAACCAAUGGGAUUAUUCGAGUGCAGUUUAUAUUUAACAGAACUCUUAAACUUCGAUCAGUGAGUUUAUAGCAUUAUCCGUAGCAAAUUUUAAAUUCUAAAUGUUUUCGUCGUCCGGAUGGCGGCCCGGUAAAUCUGUGGACCUGGAAGAUUCGGAUUCGAAUCCGGAUCCUCCGGGGGUAGUACAUCUCUAAUUUUUCAGGAGGGCACGGCCGGUUGAAGCCCAUCCUUCAACCUUUUGGUUGACCUCAUCAUAGGUGUUGGCCAGCCUUUGAU
rnacentral:lncRNA from 1 species